UCCCAAGUUCCCUUGGAGAUAGAGGCCACAUGACCUCGACCUGGCCAAUCAGCAGAGCCCAUUCUCUUCAGCCAUAGUGAUUGGCUGAGGUCUGGGCAAGUAACCAAUCGGGUGCCAAAGGUCAGACUUCCGGGUUGGAACCCUGGAGGAAGAGAAGCUCUCUUUCUGUCAGGUUGCUGGAGUGGUUGGUGCCAUCUUGUCACCUUGAAGGGAAAGCCCACCCAAGAAUGACACCAACAUAGAGGGAAGUAAACAGAGCCAAGAGGUCAGCAGAGGUGGUUCCUGGUGCCGUUAUCCAGCACCCAGCUACAGACCAGGCUCCUCGAGAUCAUCAGCCAGGACAGCUUCACCAGGGUGAAUGAAGUUCACCAAGUACCUUCUCACUGGGCAGCAGAACUCCUCCUUCCUCUAGAGUCUAUUCCAUGGGGUCACCCCAAGGUCAUCAAGCCCUUUCGACACCACAGACACUUUGUUCUUAGCCAUGGAGUACGCCAGCAGAACAAAGCUGGUCGACUACAUCCUGGAGUUGGGCUAUAUGAAGGCGGAAGAGGCCUGAAGCAAAUUCCAGCAGAUAGUAUCAGCCCUCUAGUACCACCAACAAAAGGGGGAUAUCCAUAGGGACCUGAAGCCCAAGAAUUUCCUUGUGGUCCAUCACAACAUAAAAAUAACAGACUUUGGAUUUGAUACCAGGUUCACUGUAGGCCAGAAGCUGGGCACCUUCGGUGGGAGUCCCUCUUAUGCGGUCCUGAACUCUUCCAUGGCCAAACAUAUGAUGGACCCCAGUGGACAUGUAGAGCUGGAAAGUCAUUCUUUACACCACAGUAACAAGGGCCUGACAUUUAUCAGGCAGAUUUUGUGGCGCUGAGGAAGCUGAUACUAUGUGAACAAUUGUACAAAAUCCCACUCUUCACUCUUCAUUUCCAGAGAGCUUCAUAAACCUAUUUCUGACCACAGGGAGAGGCCUAUACUAGACUACGUCAUGGAACACCUAUGGAUCAACACUGGUCAGGAGGACAUGAAGGCCAUACUAGGAGCUGCUCUCUCAUCACCAGGACUCCUGAAAGACAGAGCUCAUGGUGUCCGUGUGAUAUGAGGCAGACCACAUCUAGUCCUUGUUAGAAGAAAAAUUUGAUGAUACCAUGGCCUGGUACUGAAUGCUGGGCUCCAUCAUCACAGUGUAGUCUUUGCCUUCAGUGGAUCCCACCCAAUAGCCACUAGCCUUCCCCAUCACUUGAAAGAAACUCUUAUGCUUUAACGUACAAAACUUGUGAAGAACAUUGGGAAAAGGUGCA